rnacentral:piRNA from 1 species
UGAAAGUAGGUUUCACUGCAGUGGG